rnacentral:rRNA from 1 species
UACGUAGGGUGCAAGCGUUAAUCGGAAUUACUGGGCGUAAAGCGUGCGCAGGCGGUGAUGUAAGACAGUUGUGAAAUCCCCGGGCUCAACCUGGGAACUGCAUCUGUGACUGCAUCGCUGGAGUGCGGCAGAGGGGGAUGGAAUUCCGCGUGUAGCAGUGAAAUGCGUAGAUAUGCGGAGGAACACCGCUGGCGAAGGCAAUCCCCUGGGCCUGCACUGACGCUCAUGCACGAAAGCGUGGGGAGCAAACAGG